rnacentral:rRNA from 1 species
UGGGGGACAACGUUUCGAAAGGAACGCUAAUACCGCAUACGUCCUACGGGNGAAAGCAGGGACCUUCGGGCCUUGCGCUAUCAGAUGAGCCUAGGUCGGAUUAGCUAGUUGGUGAGGUAAUGGCUCACCAAGGCGACGAUCCGUAACUGGUCUGAGAGGAUGAUCAGUCACACUGGAACUGAGACACGGUCCAGACUCCUACGGGAGGCAGCAGGA